UACGUAGGGUGCGAGCGUUAAUCGGAAUUACUGGGCGUAAAGCGUGCGCAGGCGGUUUGUAAGUUUGUCGUGAAAGCCCCGGGCUCAACCUGGGAAUUGCGAUGAAGACUGCAAGGCUUGAAUCUGGCAGAGGGGGUAGAAUUCCACGGUGUAGCAGGUGAAAUGCGUAGAGAUGUGGAGGAACACCGAUGGCGGAAGGCAGCCCCUGGGUCAAGAUUGACGCGCUCAUGCACGAAAGCUGGGGAGCAAACAGG
rnacentral:rRNA from 1 species